rnacentral:rRNA from 1 species
AUCGAACGCUGGCGGCAGGCCUAACACAUGCAAGUCGAGCGGAUGAAGGGAGCUUGCUCCUGGAUUCAGCGGCGGACGGGUGAGUAAUGCCUAGGAAUCUGCCUGGUAGUGGGGGAUAACGUCCGGAAACGGGCGCUAAUACCGCAUACGUCCUGAGGGAGAAAGUGGGGGAUCUUCGGACCUCACGCUAUCAGAUGAGCCUAGGUCGGAUUUGCUAGUUGGUGGGGUAAAGGCCUACCAAGGCGACGAUCCGUAACUGGUCUGAGAGGAUGAUCAGUCACACUGGAACUGAGACACGGUCGCGACUCUUACGGGAGGCAGCAGUGGGGAAUAUUGGACAAGGGGGGAAAGGCUGAUCCAGCCAUGCCGCGUGUGUGAAGAAGGUCCUCGGAUUGUAAAGCACUGUAAGUCGGGAGGAAGGGCAGUAAGUUAAUACCUGACUGUUUUGACGGUACCAACAGAAUAAGCACCGGCUAACUUCGUG